AUUUUUGUAGUUUAAAAUCACUAAAACAACAAUUUUUCACAUUGUAAAAUUAACACAACAGUUAACAAAAAUU
rnacentral:tRNA from 1 species